rnacentral:lncRNA from 1 species
AGCAGCUCCAGAGCCCGCAGGGGAUGGAUUCAGCUCCCAUGGGCACAGAGCAGCUCCAGAGCUGCAGGGAUUCAGCUCCCCAUGGGCACAGAGCAGCUCCAGAGCUGCAGUGGAUUCAGCUCCCCAUGGGCACAGAGCAGCUCCAGAGCCUGCAGGGGAUGGAUUCAGCUUCAGAGCCCGCAGGGGAUGGAUUCAGCUCCCCACGGGCACAGAGCAGCUGCAGAGCUGCAGGGUUCAUUGAUUCACGCCCAGCUCUGCUGUCCCUGGCAGGCCGCAGUGCAAGAAGCAGCCCCUGCCCCAAGGCACUGCCCG